rnacentral:rRNA from 1 species
CCUACGGGCGGCAGCAGUGGGGAAUAUUGCACAAUGGGCGCAAGCCUGAUGCAGCCAUGCCGCGUGUAUGAAGAAGGCCUUCGGGUUGUAAAGUACUUUCAGCGGGGAGGAAGGCGAUAAGGUUAAUAACCUUGUCGAUUGACGUUACCCGCAGAAGAAUCACCGGCUAACUCCGUGCCAGCAGCCGCGGUAAUACGGAGGGUGCAAGCGUUAAUCGGAAUUACUGGGCGUAAAGCGCACGCAGGCGGUCUGUCGAGUCGGAUGUGAAAUCCCCGGGCUCAACCUGGGAACUGCAUUGGAAACUGGCAGGCUAGAGUCUUGUAGAGGGGGGUAGAAUUCCAGGUGUAGCGGUGAAAUGCGUAGAGAUCUGGAGGAAUACCGGUGGCGAAGGCAGCCCCCUGGACAAAGACUGACGCUCAGGUGCGAAAGCGUGGGGAGCAAACAGGAUUAGAUACCCUUGUAGUC